UCUCCGUUGGUGAACCAGCGGAGGGAUCAUUACCGAGUGCAAACUCAUAACCCUUUGUGAACCUAUAUCUGUUGCUUCGGCGGCCCGCUCUCGGGCGAGCCCGCCGGUAAUAUCAGUAUCUCUGUUUGAACCCGACGAUACUUCUGAGUGUUCUUAGCGAACAGUUAAAACUUUUAACAACGGAUCUCUUGGCUCUA
rnacentral:misc_RNA from 1 species